rnacentral:rRNA from 1 species
CAGGCUUAACACAUGCAAGUCGAGGGGCCUUUGGUCUUAGCUUGCUAAGGCCGAUGGCGACCGGCGCACGGGUGAGUAACACGUAUCCAACCUGCCGUCUACUCUUGGACAGCCUUCUGAAAGGAAGAUUAAUACAAGAUGGCAUCAUGAGUCCGCAUGUUCACAUGAUUAAAGGUAUUCCGGUAGACGAUGGGGAUGCGUUCCAUUAGAUAGUAGGCGGGGUAACGGCCCACCUAGUCUUCGAUGGAUAGGGGUUCUGAGAGGAAGGUCCCCCACAUUGGAACUGAGACACGGUCCAAACUCCUACGGGAGGCAGCAGUGAGGAAUAUUGGUCAAUGGGCGAGAGCCUGAACCAGCCAAGUAGCGUGAAGGAUGACUGCCCUAUGGGUUGUAAACUUCUUUUAUAAAGGAAUAAAGUCGGGUAUGGAUACCCGUUUGCAUGUACUUUAUGAAUAAGGAUCGGCUAACUCCGUGCCAGCAGCCGCGGUAAUACGGAGGAUCCGAGCGUUAUCCGGAUUUAUUGGGUUUAAAGGGAGCGUAGAUGGAUGUUUAAGUCAGUUGUGAAAGUUUGCGGCUCAACCGUAAAAUUGCAGUUGAUACUGGAUAUCUUGAGUGCAGUUGAGGCAGGCGGAAUUCGUGGUGUAGCGGUGAAAUGCUUAGAUAUCACGAAGAACUCCGAUUGCGAAAGCAGCCUGCUAAGCUGCAACUGACAUUGAGGCUCGAAAGUGUGGGUAUCAAACAGGAUUAGAUACCCUGGUAGUCCACACGGUAAACGAUGAAUACUCGCUGUUUGCGAUAUACUGCAAGCGGCCAAGCGAAAGCGUUAAGUAUUCCACCUGGGGAGUACGCCGGCAACGGUGAAACUCAAAGGAAUUGACGGGGGCCCGCACAAGCGGAGGAACAUGUGGUUUAAUUCGAUGAUACGCGAGGAACCUUACCCGGGCUUAAAUUGCAGAUGAAUUACGGUGAAAGCCGUAAGCCGCAAGGCAUCUGUGAAGGUGCUGCAUGGUUGUCGUCAGCUCGUGCCGUGAGGUGUCGGCUUAAGUGCCAUAACGAGCGCAACCCUUGUUGUCAGUUACUAACAGGUUCCGCUGAGGACUCUGACAAGACUGCCAUCGUAAGAUGUGAGGAAGGUGGGGAUGACGUCAAAUCAGCACGGCCCUUACGUCCGGGGCUACACACGUGUUACAAUGGGGGGUACAGAGGGCCGCUACCACGCGAGUGGAUGCCAAUCCCCAAAACCUCUCUCAGUUCGGACUGGAGUCUGCAACCCGACUCCACGAAGCUGGAUUCGCUAGUAAUCGCGCAUCAGCCACGGCGCGGUGAAUACGUUCCCGGGCCUUGUACACACCG